rnacentral:rRNA from 1 species
AGUGAACGCUGGCGGUAGGCCUAACACAUGCAAGUCGAACGGCAGCACAGUAAGAGCUUGCUCUUACGGGUGGCGAGUGGCGGACGGGUGAGGAAUACAUCGGAAUCUACUUUUUCGUGGGGGAUAACGUAGGGAAACUUACGCUAAUACCGCAUACGACCUACGGGUGAAAGCAGGGGAUCUUCGGACCUUGCGCGAUUGAAUGAGCCGAUGUCGGAUUAGCUAGUUGGCGGGGUAAAGGCCCACCAAGGCGACGAUCCGUAGCUGGUCUGAGAGGAUGAUCAGCCACACUGGAACUGAGACACGGUCCAGACUCCUACGGGAGGCAGCAGUGGGGAAUAUUGGACAAUUGGCGCAAGCCUGCUCCAGCCAUACCGCGUGGGUGAAGAAGGCCUUCGGGUUGUAAAGCCCUUUUGUUGGGAAAGAAAAGCAGCAGGUUAAUACCCCGCUGUUCUGACGGUACCCAAAGAAUAAGCACCGGCUAACUUCGUG